UGGUGUUGUGAAAAUCUUGAACUUGGAGGAGGGAGGUGCCUUUAAUGUUAGCAGUGCUGAAGACAUGCUCAAGGCCCUUUGAGAGUAAUGAUUUUUCUUUCUAUGUUUAUUUGAACUUUUGAAUUUGAGUUUAUGUUGAUUAUGAUGAGGAUGAGGAUGAGAAUCGUUUAUGUUGAUUAUGAUGAGGAUGAGAAUCGUUUCUAUCUUUAUGAAUAAAUGCGAUAGAAUUAUCUAAACAUUCAGAUGAAAUCUAUUGGCUAUGAUGCG
rnacentral:lncRNA from 1 species